rnacentral:rRNA from 1 species
GACGAACGCUGGCGGCGUGCCUAAUACAUGCAAGUAGAACGCUGAAGGAGGAGCUUGCUUCUCUGGAUGAGUUGCGAACGGGUGAGUAACGCGUAGGUAACCUGCCUGGUAGCGGGGGAUAACUAUUGGAAACGAUAGCUAAUACCGCAUAAUAGUAGAUGUUGCAUGACAUUUGCUUAAAAGGUGCAAUUGCAUCACUACCAGAUGGACCUGCGUUGUAUUAGCUAGUUGGUGGGGUAACGGCUCACCAAGGCGACGAUACAUAGCCGACCUGAGAGGGUGAUAGGCCGCACUGGGGCUGGGACACGGCCCAGACUCCUACGGGAGGCAGCAGUAGGGAAUCUUCGGCAAUGGACGGAAGUCUGACCGAGCAACGCCGCGUGAGUGAAGAAGGUUUUCGGAUCGUAAAGCUCUGUUGUAAGAGAAGAACGGGUGUGAGAGUGGAAAGUUCACAGUGUGACGGUAUCUUACCAGAAAGGGACGGCUAACUACGUG